UGUGAAAUCGAUACCUGCAAGAUGCCUUCAGCUCAGAAGAAAACAAAGCUUAUUUCUGGAUCUGAGCCUUUUGAAUUGGUUCCAGAAUGCCCGAAGGAGUUGGGAGUGGGGAAUUCCCUGCUAACUCUUGCAAGCAAAAUGCGAAGGCAUUAAACUACUCUUGUAUCAAAGCAUAACGGAAGGUGGCUGGGAAAUGUAUAAUGGCAGCUGGAUUCCAUACACAGAUUGCUGCUUUGCCUGAUGUUCUAUCAAGGACAGCAUCCUCAAAUGGUUGAAUGAGACCUCUUCAAGCUGACACUGCAUGAGGAAGUUGGAUAUAAAAUAAGCCCUUCUCGGUAUAUCUGCAGCCAGACUUUUUUUGUUUGACUGACAAACUGACUGACAGUAUUUAGUAUCACGUUCUUUGCAUUUCCUUUUGGGUGUUGUGUGCUGCAUGUAUGAACCAUGUGAUGCAGUGUGGGAACAUGGAUGUACCUGAAUUUUGGCCUCCACGCACAGCCUUCUAUUUUGUACCUGAAGCAUACAGAGCAGUUGCAAGGGCUGGGAGGAGGGGGCUGUUCUCAGUGAGCUGCUUCAGCAGAGACUUUCUGCUCACUGCUGUAGCCAAAAGAGGAGAACAGAGCUUGGGCUGGUGAAAACCAGGACUGCCAUGCCCGGCCCAUCAUCUCCCCUCCAGCUCAGAUGCUGGCAUACUGGAUGUGGAAGAAAACCUUUUGUUGUGAAAGCAAGGCUGGUGGGAAAGCUGCUAUCUGCUUAUCAGCCCAGCUGUGUACAGUGCUGGUACUGAUGUACCCUGCCAGCUUAUCCCAUUUCAAAGGGCUGAGAGCAAAGCAGUAAGGAGCACAGAGGAGGGCAGUAAAGAUGAAUUACUGGCUGCUAUUGUACGAGUGAUUGAGCUGAUUACAGCUAUCUAGCCUUGAACAAGAUCUGAUAGGAGACUACCUGAUAAAAUAGGUGAACAGCUCACUCUUUCUGCCAAGACAAGAACUAGGGGACAUCAAAUGGAAGCAGUAGAUGCCAGAUUCAAAGUGAAAGAUGUAACUCGCUUGGCACAGGUCUGGAGGUGCUGGGAGUUUGAGAGCUGAACGUAGGAUUCCACACAUUGCAUAGGAGGCAAAUAUACUUGAGCUCCAAACAGAGUCAGGAAGCCCCUAAACCACAAACAGGUGCUUUGGGAGAGGUUAUUUAGGGGAAGCUUCACUGCAAGGUUGUCUUAUCUUUGCAUUCUCUCCUGGUUAAUCAUACUGGGUGAUGAUGGGAAGGGACUGCUGGGCUGACUUGCCUUUUAGCCUCAGUGUGGCUCUUCUCAUGUAAAGCUGGCAAAAGGAACCCAGUUUUCAUGAGCAAAACUGCUUUGGCAGUUCUUUUCUAUGAGAACUAUAACUUUAAUUAUUGCAUAGUGACUUGUAGCAGCAUUUAAUCCAGUGUUCUGGUUGCUUUGCUGCUGCAGUACAAGGGCACAUGUGAGGUGUGAGUUUGCCCUGUGAACAGUGCCCUGGCAAUACAACCUCUGAACAUCUCUCUUUACACAUUUUUGUUUAUCUGCAGUCUUCGUUUUCCAUCUCAAAAAAAAAGUUGAAUUGCAUCUGCUUGUUAAAACAAAAAAAAAGUGAAAUCUGAUCUUGUAUAGCGUUAUUGCAAGUUAUUAAUGAAAAGAGUGGGACCUUUCCACCCUCUCUACUUGCUUUAAUUAUACCAGGAGAUGGGGGGCAGGUGUCAGUCCCUACUUCUGUGAGCAGUGCAUCAAUUUCACCCCGACUAUGGGAAAAGCAACAGAAUGGCAUAAAAGCAUAGGAUCAUCUGCAGUGAUGCUGACUGUGGGAUGGCUUGCAGGCCUUGCAGUCUGCAUUUAGUGUGCUUUCUGAAAUCCCAGGCUGGAAAUCCCUUCUUUAUAAAGAUAUGUCACUGUUAUGAACCCUUAUCCAUGCUUUACAAUGGUUAUUUCUUAAGAGGAUUAUGUAUCUUUGUAUCACCCGUACUGAAAAGAAUAUCAAGCAUGUGUCCCAGGGUUUUGUUGUUUCCUGAGCUUUGUAAAUACUGUUAAGAAAUAAAAUGCACUGGUUUACCGUAAUAAAUCCUAA